AACCAUACCCGACCACACUGUAUACUAGCUAGCUCGCAAACAGAGAGAGCCAACAGUCAGGUUGCAAGAUGGCUAACGUUAAGCUUCAGUCGUUUAACGUCUUUCUGACGGAAAGAUUAACAGCAGCUGCGGUAGACAUCUAUGGAUUCGUAGAGAAAACAAUAAUAGACUACCAGGAGUAGGUGUACCAAACGAAACUGGAGAACCAGAGGUUGCAGCGGCUGCUGGAUUUGGUCUACAAACCAGAGAUAAGACUGCACAGGGCAGAUUCAAGGCAGAUCGAUUUGCCCACAACGACACAGGAGGUUUGUGCUCAGGAGCAGCAGAUACACAAGGAAUGUAUUCCCAGUGAGGCCAACAAGGAGCCAGUCAUCCGGCCCAUUAAAGAGGAACUGACAGAACUCUAGACCAGGUCUGUGGAGACACAUGAAUGUCCACCAUAGAGCAGCGUUACAGACACGAAUAUCCGGCAUACAUCAGUGUUACAGACUCACUACGUCAGAUUGUCGCCUUUGGGGAGUAUGAAGAAAAUGAGAUCCCAGACAUCCUAACUUGAGUUAUAACAGUUGAAGAGCACAUGGAACAUGAGAUACCAUUACAAGAUGACCUACCAUUACCAUCGUUUGGAGUAUCUUCAGUAUACACAAAGAAAAAAAAACAUGUUUUUUUGUAAUAUUUGCUGUCAGCCUUUUCUGAGAAAAGUCAAAUUAAAAUUGCACCUCGCAACUCAUGCAAGUUUAUCAAAGCCGACUAAAUCAGUGUACACCUGCUUCGUCUUUCAUAGACACCAGGAGUCAAAUGAUUAGCCACAUGAGAGCACACUCUGACGAGAAACCAUUUUCCAGUCGCAUUUGGGGUAACAAACUGAAAGUUCAUAUUCAAGAACAUAUGAGGAGUCACACAAGAGAAAGGCCUUACGUCUGUGGGAAAAGCUUCAACAGAUCUUCAACCAUGACUAAACACGCCGAGAUCAAACACAGGGAGAACAUGCCGUUUAAGUGCAGCCAGCACUUUCCUCUUCUCUUGAUGUUACAAUCAGCACAUAAAUACGGUCAAUGAUGUCACCUUCUCUGUAUGAAAUUCUGUUGUAACAAUGCUGAUGCUGACUUCCGUUUAAAGUUGAGAAGAUAUGCCGAGUCUGAUGGCUUUGUCUGAUGAUGAGGGCUUCUUUAUAGGUUUAUCUUUUAUGCUUGUAUGUUUUCUUGACAUUGGAGCUGCCAUGCUUUCCCAAAUUAGCUCUUAUUAUCCACUCCACUCACACAACUUAUACUCAUAUAUGUCUUUUCAGAUGCUCCUGACCAUAGAUAUGAAAGUUUUAUAUAAAUGCUCCUGAUGAGUAGACCUAAACGGAAUCAGCGGAUUGUCAUUUCUGUUUUCAGCGGAGAUGCAGAAGGAAAAUCUGCAGAGUUUAGCUGACUUUUGAUUUCUGCCUGGGGUAGAGAUGUUUACAUUUCUGAGUUUAAUUAUUUAUUUAUAUUUUUCUUUAAAAUCUGCGGAAACUUCUACGGCCUCAGAUUCCACGUGGCUCUGCUGAUGAGUUGCUGUAAUUGUAAUCAUGAACAUGUAACAUGCUCACUAGAAAUAUACCGAAACACUCGGUGUACCAAGCAAAUAGUGAAGUAACUGGAUUGUACAAGUGUUUAAAGCUACCUGCAAAUCUCAAGGGCAUUUACUGUUACAGAAAAUUGUUUUAAGAAGACAUUUAUUAAUAGCUUUGUUUUUGGCGGUUGCACUCCUUUAAAUUCUGCCUUAAAUCAUAUGUGACCUUGUUCUUAUUGUCUAAUAUGUUGUCUGUUUUGUACGAUUUUGAAAAGUGUGAUGCCAAUAAAGUUACAGAACAGUACAUGUAA